CGGCGGCCACCGCGAGGCGCGCGGCGAGGCCAUGGCCCCAGGGCUGGUGAUGAGCUCGUGUUUGCCAAACCUAACACCUCACCCUCCGGCCAACGCGAGAAUCCGAGUAUCCCCCACGCCCUCUCAAGCUUGGAUGCCGUUCCCAUCCGACCACUGCCUUUGGCUCACACCAGAGUUCUGCAGAGAUGUCACCGCGAGGACACCCAAACAGGCUGCAGGGAAAAGAAAACUGUGAAUUCAGGCAGGCUAGGGCAAACUCAUCAUCAGGAAAAGAACUGCAGAUCGCAAAUUAAACCAAAUGAUGCCCAGAGAACACAGAAUUUUAAAUGGAAACCUAUGGGGAAAGAUUCAAAGAUUUCAUGUAAACAAAUUUUCUUGGUCAAUAAAGUUCCAUUUGUUUCCAUAACCUCUCCCUCCCCAGUAAAUGAAUAAUAAACUGUCUAAAGUUUAGGACUGUAAGCCACCUCAUUAAGUGAAGAAAGAGGGGCUCAAAUGGGAAAAUAACUUGCUCAAGAUUCUGAAGGUAGACCCGAAGACGAAAUGAUUGAUCUGUGAAUGACCAUGUGAUAUUAUUAAUUCUGGUCUCCUAAUUCAGAGUUUGCAAUAAUUCGCAAACGG
rnacentral:lncRNA from 1 species